UGCCCAGCAACUCCUUUCCUUACCUCCUCGUGGUCCCGGCCGGAAACUAUGAGCAACCUUAGGGAAGA
rnacentral:ribozyme from 1 species